rnacentral:rRNA from 1 species
GAUAAGUAAUGUGAAUUGCAGAAUUCAGUGAAUCAUCGAAUCUUUGAACCGACCUUGCGCUCCUUGGUAUUCCGAGGAGCAUGCCUGUUUGAGUGUCAU